rnacentral:rRNA from 1 species
CCUACGGGGGGCUGCAGUGGGGAAUAUUGGACAAUGGGCGAAAGCCUGAUCCAGCCAUGCCGCGUGUGUGAAGAAGGCCUUCGGGUUGUAAAGCACUUUCAGUGGGGAAGAAAGCCUUGGGGCUAAUACCCUCGAGGAAGGACAUCACCCACAGAAGAAGCACCGGCUAACUCCGUGCCAGCAGCCGCGGUAAUACGGAGGGUGCGAGCGUUAAUCGGAAUUACUGGGCGUAAAGCGCGCGUAGGCGGUCUGAUAAGCCGGUUGUGAAAGCCCCGGGCUCAACCUGGGAACGGCAUCCGGAACUGUCAGGCUAGAGUGCAGGAGAGGAAGGUAGAAUUCCCGGUGUAGCGGUGAAAUGCGUAGAGAUCGUGAGGAAUACCAGUGGCGAAGGCGGCCUUCUGGACUGACACUGACGCUGAGGUGCGAAAGCGUGGGUAGCAAACAGGAUUAGAUACCCCUGUAGUC